UAGGGAAUCUUCCGCAAUGGACGCAAGUCUGACGGAGCAACGCCGCGUGAGUGAAGAAGGAUUUCGGUUCGUAAAACUCUGUUGUUAGAGAAGAACAGCGCAUAGAGUAACUGUUAUGCGUGUGACGGUAUCUAACCAGAAAGCCACGGCUAACUACGUGCCAGCAGCCGCGGUAAUACGUAGGUGGCAAGCGUUGUCCGGAUUUAUUGGGCGUAAAGCGAGCGCAGGCGGUCAAUUAAGUCUGAUGUGAAAGCCCCCGGCUCAACCGGGGAGGGUCAUUGGAAACUGGUUGACUUGAGUGCAGAAGAGGAGAGUGGAAUUCCAUGUGUAGCGGUGAAAGGCGUAGAUAUAUGGAGGAACACCAGUGGCGAAGGCGACUCUCUGGUCUGUAACUGACGCUGAGGUUCGAAAGCGUGGGUAGCAAACAGG
rnacentral:rRNA from 1 species